UACGUAGGUGGCAAGCGUUGUCCGGAUUUAUUGGGCUUAAAGGGCGCGUAGGCGGUCUAUUAAGUCAGCGGUGAAAUACUCCAGCUUAACUGGAGGGGUGCCAUUGAUACUGAUGGACUUGAGUCAAGUCGAGGUAGGCGGAAUUGACGGUGUAGCGGUGAAAUGCUUAGAUAUCGUCAAGAACACCAAUAGUGAAGACAGCUUACUGGGCUUAAACUGACGCUGAGGCACGAAAGUGUGGGGAUCAAACAGG
rnacentral:rRNA from 1 species